rnacentral:lncRNA from 1 species
GAGAUAGUAGAAGAUUUAACGUAUGAGGAGAUACCUGUUAAAAUCUUAGAUAAGAAGGAUCAUACUCUACGCUCAAAGGUUAUACCUCCAGAGUUAGAAUCUAACAAGGUAUCCUCACUGAAGGGUUUCGGCACAUAAAACGCAGUAGAAAUUAACCAAUUGAAAGACAAUUGUGAAACCCUAAAACAGGAUCCAUGCAAAAAAUAAAUU